rnacentral:tRNA from 4 species
ACGGGUGUGGUGUAAUGGUAGCACAAUGCUCUCCAAAAGCAUUAGUCCGGGUUCGAAUCCUGGCACCCGUGCCA